AUACUUACCUGGCAGGGGAGACGCCAUGAUCAUGAAGGUGUUCUCCCAGGGCGAAGCUUAUCCAUUGCACUCCAGAUGUGCUGACCCCUAUGAUUUCCCCAAAUCUGGGAAAUUCAACUGCAUAAUUUGUGGUAGUGGGUGACUGUGCUCACCUU
rnacentral:snRNA from 1 species